UUGGGCAACCGGAGCUACCCGAUCUACAUUGGAUCUGGACUUCUCGAUCAACCUGAACUGCUCCAAAGGCAUGUCCAUGGGAAGAGAGUGCUUGUGGUGACUAACAACACAGUAGGACCAUUAUACUUGGAUAAAGUGGUUGAUGCAUUAACAAGAGGGAAUCCAAACGUUUCCGUGGAGAGUGUCAUAUUGCCUGAUGGUGAGAAGUACAAGAAUAU
rnacentral:misc_RNA from 1 species